AUUGAACGCUGGCGGCAGGCUUAACACAUGCAAGUCGAGCGGGGUGAUGGUGCUUGCACUAUCACUUAGCGGCGGACGGGUGUGUAAUGCUUAGGAAUCUGCCUAUUAGUGGGGGACAACAUCUCGAAAGGGAUGCUAAUACCGCAUACGUCCUACGGGAGAAAGCAGGGGAUCACUUGUGACCUUGCGCUAAUAGAUGAGCCUAAGUCGGAUUAGCUAGUUGGUGGGGUAAAGGCCUACCGAGGCGACGAUCUGUAGCGGGUCUGAGGGGAUGAUCCGCCACACUGGGACUGAGACACGGCCCAGACUCCUACGGGAGGCAGCAGUGGGGAAUAUUGGACAAUGGGGGGAACCCUGAUCCAGCCAUGCCGCGUGUGUGAAGAAGGCCUUAUGGUUGUAAAGCACUUUAAGCGAGGAGGAGGCUCUUUUGGUUAAUACCCAAGAUGAGUGGACGUUACUCGCAGAAUAAGCACCGGCUAACUCUGUGCCAGCCGCCGCGGUAA
rnacentral:rRNA from 1 species